rnacentral:rRNA from 1 species
AAUGAACGUUGGCGGCGUGGAUUAGGCAUGCAAGUCGAACGGGCCGCAAGGCCAGUGGCGCAAGGGUGAGUAAGGCGACGGUAACCAACCCCACGGGUGGGUAUAGCCGCGGGAAACUGCGGGUAAUCCCCAGCGAUGCACACGACCGGCAUCAGUUGUGUGCCAAAGUUCCGGCGCCGUGGGACGGGCCGUCGUGGUAUUAGGUAGUUGGCGGGGUAACGGCCCACCAAGCCGACGAUGCCUACCGGGCGUGCGAGCGUGGCCCGGCACACUGGGACUGAGACACUGCCCAGACUCCUACGGGAGGCUGCAGUCGAGAAUCUUCGGCAAUGGGCGCAAGCCUGACCGAGCGACGCCGCGUGGAGGACGAAGGCCUUCGGGUUGUAAACUCCUGUCGAGGGGAAAGAAGGUCCGCAAGGGCUUGACUGAUCCCUGGAGGAAGCACGGGCUAAGUUCGUGCCAGCAGCCGC